UAGGGAAUCUUCCGCAAUGGGCGAAAGCCUGACGGAGCAACGCCGCGUGAGUGAUGAAGGUCUUCGGAUCGUAAAACUCUGUUAUUAGGGAAGAACAAAUGUGUAAGUAACUAUGCACGUCUUGACGGUACCUAAUCAGAAAGCCACGGCUAACUACGUGCCAGCAGCCGCGGUAAUACGUAGGUGGCAAGCGUUAUCCGGAAUUAUUGGGCGUAAAGCGCGCGUAGGCGGUUUUUUAAGUCUGAUGUGAAAGCCCACGGCUCAACCGUGGAGGGUCAUUGGAAACUGGAAAACUUGAGUGCAGAAGAGGAAAGUGGAAUUCCAUGUGUAGCGGUGAAAUGCGCAGAGAUAUGGAGGAACACCAGUGGCGAAGGCGACUUUCUGGUCUGUAACUGACGCUGAUGUGCGAAAGCGUGAGGAUCAAACAGG
rnacentral:rRNA from 1 species